AGAGUUUGAUCCUGGCUCAGGAUGAACGCUGGCGGCGUGCUUAACACAUGCAAGUCGAACGGACUCAUAUUGAAACCUAGUGAUUUAUGAGUUAGUGGCGGACGGGUGAGUAACGCGUGGAAAACCUGCCGUAUACUGGGGGAUAACACUUAGAAAUAGGUGCUAAUACCGCAUAAGCGCACAGCUUCGCAUGAAGUGGUGUGAAAAACUCUGGUGGUAUACGAUGGUUCCGCGUCUGAUUAGCUUGUUGGUGGGGUAAUGGCUCACCAAGGCGACGAUCAGUAGCCGGCCUGAGAGGGUGAACGGCCACAUUGGGACUGAGACACGGCCCAAACUCCUACGGGAGGCGGCAGUGGGGAAUAUUGCACAAUGGGGGAAACCCUGAUGCAGCGACGCCGCGUGAGUGAAGAAGUAUUUCGGUAUGUAAAGCUCUAUCAGCAGGGAAGAAAAUGACGGUACCUGAUUAAGAAGCCCCGGCUAACUACGUG
rnacentral:rRNA from 1 species